rnacentral:snoRNA from 1 species
ACGACCUUACUUGAACAGGAUGUCCUCUGUAGGCUCGUGCCACUGUAUCCUUGAGUUCUAAGAAGAUAGAAGACCGAGUCUGGUUGAUGAGGCAUGACUGUGAGACCAGAAC